rnacentral:rRNA from 1 species
CAGUAGCCACGGUAAUACGAAGGGUGCAAGCGUUAAUCGGAAUUACUGGGCGUAAAGCGUGCGUAGGCGGUGAGUUAAGUCUGCUGUGAAAUCCCCGGGCUCAACCUGGGAAUGGCAGUGGAUACUGGCUCGCUAGAGUGUGUCAGAGGAUGGUGGAAUUCCCGGUGUAGCGGUGAAAUGCGUAGAGAUCGGGAGGAACAUCAGUGGCGAAGGCGGCCAUCUGGGACAACACUUACGCUGAGGCACGAAAGCGUGGGGAGCAAACAGGAUUAGAUACCCCAGUAGUCCCUGUCUCUUAUAC